AAACACACUAACAAAAGCUUCUAGUGAAAGAAAAAUAUGAAAAUAUUGAUAGUUAUCACACCCCACACUUAAACAACUGCUCUCCUGGACAGGAACAAACUAAAACUAAAAAGAAAAACAAAUGACUUAACCUACAAAGAAAAAGAAUCAAACUACACAGAAAAGGCUAAAGACAAACUAGGAAACUCUAAAUUCUAAUUCAGCUUAACUCAAACCUGCCAAAUCACAUCAAUUCUAGCUAUUUCAUCAAAUCAGAACUGCACUAAAGAAAUCUCAACUCUAAACUCAAGCUUCAGCAUUUCCAGCAAGUGAGAAACAGUUUAAUCCACUCAAAAUCAGCAAAGACAACAUAUGGAAGAGUAGCAGUCAGCCUCAACCUCACAGGCUGCAGUGUAUGCACUCAAUCACUCAACUGUUUAGGUUAUCCUGUUUCACUCAUUCAUGACAUGCUAACCACCAUUCUCAAUUUUCAAAAGAUUCUAAGUGACCAUGCUCAGCUCUUGGUUUCAUCUAGAUCAAAAGGUCUUAUUGGCUUGUAAUGAAAUGGUAUGAAGGGUCACAAAACACAAGGCUAAAUGGAAAUAGAAACUGGAAGAGAAGUAAAGAACCUAGAACUCAGUGCAUUGUGCAUUUAACUUUGGUCAAUUCAAUUUCUUUGCUCUUUCUCUCUGGUUUUUUCACACUCAGGUCUUAUCUUUUAAUUCUUUUGCAUUUUAGCUAUUUUUCAGACCUGCUCUUUCUUCUUUUUCAUCACAACCAGAUUGCUCAAUCAUUUUUCUUUUUCUUCUCUGGCCUUCUUUUUUUCUUCUCUGGCCUUUCUUUUUUUUUCUUCUCUGACCUUUCUUUUUUUUUCUUCUCUGACCUUUCUUUUUUUUUUCUUCUCUAGCCUUUCUUUUUUUUCUUUUGCACUCACAAAGUUACUAAAUCCUCACUUCCUCUCACAGGUUUCUACAGGUUGGGUAAUGAUGGGGAAUGAAUGGAACAAAGAAUAUGGCUAAAGCUCAAAAGAAAGGUGCAAUGGUAAGAAAAAUUGUAAUGAGUAAAAUAAAUGGUUAUGGAUGAAGAAAAAAAUUGCCUAAAUCAUAUCUAUAUUCUACCAAGAGCAAGCACAUCACAAAGAAUCAAUUUAAAUCUAAAGUCAAGUCUACUUUUGACAAUUCUAAUCUAAGGAAAUGAAGCUAAAAACGAGUGAAAUCAACAAAGAAUGAGGAAAAGCAUAAAUCAGAACCUAAAAGCUCCUAGAAAGACUAACCAUGAUUACCUAAGCUAUUUACAAUCUAAACAACUAAAUGUGUCAUCUCAACCUCAAUCAAAUACCAUAAUCUCAUAAAGCAAAACUUAUCACACAAAACAGAGCAUUGUUAAAUCAAAGCAGUUCAAUUCAUUCAAGCAGAGCACAAUAAAAAUAAAAUAAAAUAGAACAAAAACAAAAAUUAAAAGUAAAAGUUCAGAGAAUUGGGUUGUCUCCCAGCAAGCGCUUCUUUAACGUCACUAGCUUAACCCAAUAAGUUUAUGCCACAUCUUUUAUCUUGGUGUCACCCUUUCCUUCGAUGCACCAACUGGUUUUCAGCAGCUUCCUAUUCACCUUUUUGGUUCUCCUUGAAGUAGGAGAUUCAAUUUCUAUCAACCCAUCAGCUCUGAGUUCUUUCACAACCCAAAACUUUUUGUUGAACUGCACAGGUAAGCUUGGUCUCGGCCCUUCAUGCUCCUUCAGAGGAUUUUGGUGAACACCUGCUCCUUUGUUGUUUCUUUUCUCUUCAUUCACCUGUGACAAAAAACACUUUUUACCUUUCUUCUUUGAUUUAGCAGCCUUGGUACCAGUCCCGGGUGUAUCUUUAAAUGCAACUUUGGGACUAGUUUCCUUCACUUGGAUUUUGUUAUCCAGUAUUGCAGGCAUUGUAGAUUACCUCCUCUUCUUGGUCCUUGAGAGCUAUGGUACCCUCAUCAAUAUUGAUGAUUACUUUGGUCAUUUUCAUGAACGGCCUUCCAAGAAUAAUAGGGAUCUCCGCAUUUUCCUCCAUCUCUAGCACCACAAAGUCCACCAAGAAUCUCAAGUUGUUGAUUUGCACCAUCACAUCUUCUACCACACCAUAAGGUCUUUUGGGGAAUCCAUCUGCCAUGAGAAGAGACAUCCUUGUCGGCUUAACUUCCAAGUCACCAAUCCUUUUGAGAACAGUUAAGGGCAUUAGAUUGAUACUGGAUCUCAAACCAAUUAAGGCAGACUUUCCCUAUUUUGUGGUUCCCAAUGAUGCAGGGAAUAGUGAAACUUCCUGGGUCUUCUACCUUAGGAGGAAGUGUCUUUUGCAAGAUCACACUAUAAUUCCCAUGUAUGUAUUUCAGUUGUCUCUCAGUCACAUAAAUUUUUAUCCCCAAUUCUUUGGAGAUCUCAUCAAAACACCAUGAUUGCAUGGAAUAUUUGUCAGGAUGGUGGAAACUUUUCUCAAAUUUUUUUACUUUUUUCUUCUUCUC
rnacentral:lncRNA from 1 species